rnacentral:rRNA from 1 species
AGUUAAAAGAAAAAAGUUUUUUUUAUUUUUAAUUAUUUCUGCUCAAUGACUAAAUUAAUUUUCUUUUAUUAAUCGUUAAAUAGCCGCAGUACUUUGACUGUGCUAAGGUAGCAUAAUAAUUUGACUUUUAAAUGAAGUCUGGAAUGAAUGAAUUUACGUAAUUAAGCUGUCUUAUUUUAAAUUAAUUAUAAAUUUAUUAAAUUAGGUGAAAAUCCCUAAAAUACACUAUAUAAGACGAGAAGACCCUAAGAAUUUUUAAAAAAUUUAUUAUUUCUUCUAUUAAAAAAUUUCUUAGUAAAUUAAUUUUUAGUUGGGGCAACUAAAUUUCACAAAAUUUUUUAAACUUUUUGGGGUUUCCCCCCAAAAAAUUUUCUUUGUUUUAGAAAAAAAUUUUAAAUUUUAUUAUAGAAAAUUUCUUCAAUCAAUUUUUUUUAAAAAAAAAUUUUUUAUUCAAAAGUAAAAAAGAAAAAUUUAAUUAUUCAAAUUAAAUUACCUUAGGGAUAACAGCACAAUAAUAUAAUUUUGAUUGUGACCUCGAUGUUGGACUAGGUAAAUUUUAUAAUUAGAAAUUAUAAGAGUUAGUUCUGUUCGAACAAUAAUUACCUA